UGCGGAGAAAGUAUUGCAUGAUGAAAUUGACAUUGCAUAAAAUAUAGAAAUCAACGACAACGGAAGCCCGCAAUGAACGGUGUUUUAAUCUUUUGCUGACGACAACUUCCAAAUCUACUUAGGACCAGGAUUUUUUAAGGGAACAAGAAAUCUUCAUAGGGAUACAUAGAUUGAACAUUUUCUAAAUGGAUCCACAGAACUCUGUGUCUCACCUGUAGUUGCUGCUGUUAGUGUAAAAGUGUGAUGUUGACUAUAGUAAUUUCAGCAACAGAAUGAAGAAUUCCAAGAGUCUAAUACGGUUUAUUAAACAGGAUUUUAUCAUUGAAUAAACAUCCUACAAGAAUAUAACAUACAAAUAAGUAAUUAUGUGCAGGGAAGAACAUUUAAACAAAACUGUAAGAGACAUACAGUGGUGUAUUUUUAAAGAGACCGAAAGAACCUGUUAUAACUUGCCAUGAGUGUAUAUUUUCCAAACCAGAAACUCGUUCAUGAUA